rnacentral:tRNA from 1 species
GAGCGGAUAGCUCAGGGGUAGAGUGUGUGCUUAGCAUGCACGAGGUCCUGGGUUCAAUCCCCACUACCUCCG